AAUCGAACUCGGAGAUAGCUGGUUCUCCCCGAAAUAGCUUUAGGGCUAGCCUCAUGUUAGAUAUCCGGAGGUAAAGCACUGAAUGGCCUAGCGUCCGAGAGGAUAGCGAAGCCUAUCAAACUAAGAAUGCCGGAAUAUUGAUGCAUGGGAGUCAGACAGUGUGAGAUAAAUCUCAUUGUCAAAAGGGAAACAGCCCAGAUCUACAGCUAAGGUCCCAAAUUGUAUCUAAGUGGAAAACGAUGUGGAAAUACGCAGACAACCAGGAUGUUGGCUCAGAAGCAGCCACUCAUUUAAAGAGUGCGUAAUAGCUCACUGGUCGAGCGUCUCUGCGCGGAAAAUUUAACGGGGCUAAGAUACAAACCGAAGCUUAGGCUGCACUUUUAGUGCGGGGUAGGGGAGCGUUGUGUAAGCGGAGAAACAGUAGCGAAAGCGGCUGUGGAGUUUACAGAAGUGAGAAUGCCGGAAUGAGUAGCGCGAAUGAUGUGAGAAUCAUCAUGGCCGGAAACCUCAGGUUUUUGGAGGAAGGUUCGUCCGCUCCAAGUUAGGCGGGAGCUAAGGUGAGGCCGAAAGGCGUAGCCGAUGCACAGACGGUAGAGAUUCCGUUCCCACCGAAAGAUUUAAGCGCAGGGACACUUUUAGAAGGUCGGAGCCAGGUGUUGGUUCUGGUAGAGAUCGAGGGAAGAUUAGUACCGAAGUCCGGCUGGAUAAGAGGCGAGAAAAGCUGCGUGUAUAUCUAAGGUGCCCGUACCGCAAACCGACACAGGUAGGUAGGAAGAAGAUUCUAAGGCCAACGGGAGAAGGGUUGUUAAGGAACUCGGCAAGUUGACCCCGUAACUUCGGAAUAAGGGGUGCUCAUGAAAGUGAGCCGCAGAGAAUAGGCCCAGGCAACUGUUUACCAAAAACACAGGUUUGUGCUAAAUCGAAAGAUGACGUAUACGAGCUGACGCCUGCCCGGUGCUGGAAGGUUAAAAGGAGAUGUGCAAGCAUUGAAUUGAAGCCCCAGUGAACGGCGGCCGUAACUAUAACGGUCCUAAGGUAGCGAAAUUCCUUGUCAGGUAAGUUCUGACCCGCAUGAAAGGCGUAAUGAUCUGGGCACUGUCUCAACAGCCCGCCCGGCGAAAUUGUAGUACCGGUGAAGAUGCCGGUUACCCGCGACAAGACGGAAAGACCCCAUGGAGCUUUACUGUAGCCUAAUAUUGGGUUUCGGUGUUGCAUGCACAGGAUAGAUGGGACGCUGGGAAGUGAGUGCUUUGGCAUUCAUGGAGCGGCCGUUGGGAUACCAUCCUUGCGACAUUGGAAUUCUAACCUGCGCCUUUGAAUCAAGGCGGGGGACAUUGUUAGGUGGGCAGUUUGACUGGGGCGGUCGCCUCCUAAAGAGUAGCGGAGGCGUUCAAAGGUUGGCUCGUCCUGGACGGAAACCAGGAGAGAGAGUGCAAACGCAAAAGCCAGCCUGACUGCGAGACUGACGGGUCGAGCAGAGACGAAAGUCGGAGUUAGUGAUCCGGUGGUAUGUGAGUGGAAAUGCCAUCGCUCAACGGAUAAAAGUUACCCUGGGGAUAACAGGCUGAUCUCCCCCAAGAGUCCACAUCGACGGGGAGGUUUGGCACCUCGAUGUCGGCUCAUCGCAUCCUGGGGCUGUAUUCGGUCCCAAGGGUUUGGCUGUUCGCCAAUUAAAGCGGUACGCGAGCUGGGUUCAGAACGUCGUGAGACAGUUCGGUCCCUAUCUGUCGUGGGCGCAGGAUAUUUGAAAGGCGCUGUCCCUAGUACGAGAGGACCGGGAUGGACGAACCUCUGGUGCACCAGUUGUCACGCCAGUGGCACAGCUGGGCAGCUAUGUUCGGAUCGGAUAAACGCUGAAAGCAUCUAAGCGUGAAGCCGGCCUUAAGAUAAGAUAUCCCACUGAGAUAAUCAGGUAAGACCCCUUGA
rnacentral:rRNA from 1 species